AUCGAACGCUGGCGGCAGGCCUAACACAUGCAAGUCGAGCGGAGCGGCGGACGCGUGUGUAAUGCCUAGGAAUCUCCCUGGUAGUGGGGGAUAACAUCCGGAAGCGGGCGUUAAUACCACCUACUAUCAGAUGAGACUAGGUCGGAUUGACUAGUGGGGGGGGUAAAGGCCUACCAAGGCGACGAUCCGUAACUGGUCUGAGCGGAUGAUCAGUCACACUGGAACUGGGACACGGUCCAGACUCCUACGGGAGGCAGCAGUGGGGAGUAUUGGACAAUGGGCGAAGGCCUGAUCCAGCCAGGCCGCGUGUGUGAAGAAGGUCUUCGGAUUGUAAAGCACUUUAAGUUGGGAGGCGUUACCAACAGAAUAAGCACCGGCUAACUUCGUGCCAGCAGCCGCGGUAAUUC
rnacentral:rRNA from 1 species